rnacentral:rRNA from 1 species
GAUCCUGGCUUAGGAUGAACGCUGGCGGCGUGCCUAACACAUGCAAGUCGAACGAAGCACUUAGACAGAACCUUCGGGUGACGUAUUGGUGACUGAGUGGCGGACGGGUGAGUAACGCGUGGGUAACCUGCCCUGUACAGGGGGAUAACAGUUAGAAAUGACUGCUAAUACCGCAUAAGCGCACGAUGGUAGCAUUACCAGGUGUGAAAAACUCCGGUGGUACAGGAUGGGCCCGCGUCUGAUUAGCUAGUUGGCGGGGUAAGAGCCCACCAAGGCGACGAUCAGUAGCCGGUCUGAGAGGAUGAACGGCCACAUUGGAACUGAGACACGGUCCAAACUCCUACGGGAGGCAGCAGGUGGGGAAUAUUGCACAAUGGGGGGAACCCUGAUGCAGCAACGCCCGCGUGAGUGAAGAAGUAUUUCGGUAUGUAAAGCUCUAUCAGCAGGGAAGAUAAUGACGGUACCUGACUAAGAAGCUCCGGCUAAAUACGUGCCAGCAGCUGC